UCCGAGUUGACCCCGGCAGUCUCUUACGAGUCCCCGACAUGACUCGCUGGCAACAUAGGAUAGGGGUUGCGCUCGUUGCGGGACUUAACCCAACACCUCACGGCACGAGCUGACGACAACCAUGCACCACCUGUAUAGGGCCCCGAAGGACACUGCAUCUCUGCAGCUUUUCCCUAUAUUUCAAGCCCUGGUAAGGUUCUUCGCGUUGCGUCGAAUUAAGCCACAUGCUCCGCCGCUUGUGCGGGCCCCCGUCAAUUCCUUUGAGUUUCAGUCUUGCGACCGUACUCCCCAGGCGGGGCGCUUAAUGCGUUAGCUGCGGCACGGAACUCGUGAAAUGAGUCCCACACCUAGCGCCCAACGUUUACGGCAUGGACUAC
rnacentral:misc_RNA from 1 species